CCUAGGGCUUUCGAGCCCAAACCAAAUCUAGGUCCAACAAUCCCGUGAACCGGUCCAAGCCCCAAAUCUUCAUCUUCAUGUCUCAACCUAAAAUAUCUCACACUUCAAGCUUAAUUCCAAUACAUGAUGAACCUUCGCCGUCGUCCUCACUCUCCACAGACCCGCUAAUCUCCUUUCUGAAACUCAAAUACGCGCGUGAGCGAACACGAUUCCAGAUUAAUCAUCAACAUCCGAAUCGCUUCGAAAUCCCCAUCAUCUUCACCGAUCCGGAGUUGCAACGUCCACACCGAUAAUCAAAUCACAGCGUCGAGGAGAAGUUGUGGUUCGCGUCCUUCCAACAUUAAUUCGUAAUUUCGAAGAUUCAACCUACUCCGUAUCAUGUGCGCAAAUGGAAGAAAAGCGGUGUCAAUACGAGUUGAAGGACUUACCGGAUUGAUGCUCCGAUUGCGAUAGGUUUUGCUGUUGCACCAGAUUCAUUAUUUGUGGAUCAUGAGCUAAACCAGAAGAGCAGCGACGACUUUUGCGGCUGAAUUCCAAAUGGCAUGAAGGAGAUCAAAUCCAUUUUGUAUGGGAUUAUUUGGUCGUCCAGUACCCGUUAUUCAUGUUUGCAGGUGUUCUGUCAGAUACACACCUUGGAUUAUCGACAAUAACUCAAAAUUUUGAGACUGAUGUUGACGGGAAUUGUCACUCACUGGAGACAAGAGCUUUGAAUGCAGUGACAUAUCUGGGACAUCCAAUUUUGGAACAAGGGAUGUUUGGAAUUGCUAUGAAGCUUGGAGUUGAUUUAUUGUAUGUGGUUUCGCCCUAGUUUAUGUAUGUAAAAGGGCAAUGGUGUUCUCAUGUGUAUGCCUUGUUUGGAAAUGCUCAAUUUGGUUUGAAAUGGUUUGGGUUAGGUUGUUGUAUUGGUUUUCUUGUAUAUGUUUAUGAGUCCUUUGUAAGAUUCGGUUUUGAAUUGUAAAUUAGGGACAAAAGUGUGUACGGAGUUUUGGUUUAUUGGAAGUAAUGGAUUUUUUGGAAUUGGAAUUAAAA